rnacentral:rRNA from 1 species
AGUCGAACGGACCGUAUACGCAGCUUGCUGCGUGUAUGGUUAGUGGCAGACGGGUGAGUAAUGCAUAGGAAUCUACCUAGUAGUAUGGGAUAGCCACUAGAAAUGGUGGGUAAUACUGUAUAAUCCCUGCGGGGGAAAGAUUUAUCGCUAUUAGAUGAGCCUAUGUCAGAUUAGCUAGUUGGUGGGGUAAUGGCCUACCAAGGCGGUGAUCUGUAGCUGGUCUGAGAGGAUGAUCAGCCACACUGGAACUGAGACACGGUCCAGACUCCUACGGGAGGCAGCAGUGGGGAAUAUUGGACAAUGGGCGCAAGCCUGAUCCAGCUAUGCCGCGUGAGUGAGGAAGGCCUUAGGGUUGUAAAACUCUUUCAGUAGGGAAGAUAAUGACGGUACCUACAGAA